GGGAAAUCGAAUUUUUUUAUCCAAAAUGAGAUAAAUGGCGCAUGCGCUUUUAUUGCUCUUGUUUAUUCCGCUUACUAAAUUCGCGCGGGCACACGCUCACAAUCGAUAUUGUUUUGAACAAAGAUUCUCAUCAGAAUAUCGUAUACAAAAUAGUCUUUUAUACGUUUAAAGGCGCUUUAAAUCACACUACUAUUAAACUAUAUUCAAUGGCAAAUAUUGGAAGAGCUAUUAAAGCUGCUAUAGCGAAAAGAGUGCUUGAAUAUUCGUUAAAAGACGAGACAUUCAAAUGUAUCUCGGCCAUUGUAAAAUGGUGAAGAUGUUUUGGUUGUUUUGCCAACAGGUUAUGGGCUUAUUAUGGCAAAUAUUAAAAUAUUUCAGCUGCUAACUGACGUGUACGACAUGUUACUUGGCGUAACUAAUUCUAUCGUGAUAGUCAUCUCCACAUGAAUGACCAAGGCAUUUCUGCAUGCAUGAUAGUAUGUCAAAGUAUGAUUAUGAUACAAGGGUGACAAGGCAAUUCUGUGCUACACUGUACUAUAUUUGGUGAUGGCAGCGAUAUCAAAUUACCAUUGGAUCCCACAUGAGAACCCAACGUAUAAGCUGUUCUAUAUGCACCCAGAAAUGUGUGUCUAUGACAAGAAAAUACAAGCUUUUUUCAACUGUAUACUGUAAACCUCUGAAUAUAAUGCUCACCUCAUUCCAAAUAUACCCCCCCCCCCAAAUAUAAGCCCCCAUGAAUAUAAGUCCCCUGAAUAUAAGCCCAGUAUCCCAGUAUGUUAUUUAACAUUGAUAUUGUCUUUUAAUAUAGCAGAGAACGAUAUUUAAGACACUGUCAUUGUCUUUAUAGCUUACUAUGUUAAUCGAAGUGUGUUAUUAAUACAUGUUUAUUUUCCUGUUUAUGACUGACUUGUUUAUUACUAACACAAUUGAUUGUCCAUGUAUAAGGCUCCCGUGCAUAUAAGCCCCCCCCCCCUAAGCCCACCAAAAAUCGCUUACAAAAGAAUAUAAGCCCAGGGCUUAUAGUCAGAGGUUUACGGUAUUAUUUAUCACAUAUUUUAGCAAUAAACACAUUUUUUAUAUUAUAUUACAGUUAACAUAUAUACAUGGAGCACAUAUAAAGUCUUUAAAAUUUAAAUGACAGUACAUUGUGUUUGUAAUUAUAAUUACUAUAAUUACUUGUGUUGAAAGUAAAUGAAAUGAACAAAUCCAU